GCCGCGGCCGCUUCCUUCUCCUCCCCUUCCCCGAGCGUCUGCUGUUGCCGGGUAACGUGCCCCAGCGGGCGACAGAGGCUGCGGCCGCGGGCAGAGUAUUCAGACAUACAGUAUUGCCAUUUUACUGCUAUUCGUUAAUGUCUGGAUGGUUGCAAAGAUGGUGACUGCAGAUGACAGCCAGUGGGAUGAAACCAUCUGUGACAUGGCUGUUUGCCAACACCCACAGUGCUGGGACACUAUAAGGAGGAUUGAACAGGGACAUCCUCGGGUCCGUUUAAGAAACUUUGACUCACUCUGCAGGGCUUCUUCUUCGGAAAGCAAAGAUGAAUUACCAACACUGAAGAUUAUAAACUUCCCCAGCAAUUGCUCUCCCCGAGGAAGGAUCAGAUGUUCCAAUUGUAACAGAACUAUUUCCACCUUCACUGCACUUGAGACCUCUUUCUCUCCUUCUUCUCUGUAUGAAACUUCAGACUAUGACUUCUCUGACCGAAAUUCUGAAGUCAGGUGAAUUGCUGCUGAGUUCCAAUCUUUGGAUGACUUUUGAAGGUUGUCAGUAUUCCCAGGACUAAGAGUCUGUAGCAGAAUGAUGGCAUCCUUGUUUUUCUGACAGAGGCUGAGAAGAAUAUUAGUGUUUUAGAGAUUGCAAUUGCCAUGGGGCAUGGAGCAUGUCACCUUCUGCAUUUUAUACAUUGCAGAGCAAACUGUUAGCACUUAUGGCCCCCAUUCUGCAAAUAAUUACACAUAUGCUGAACUUUACUCAUGUGAGUGGACCCACUGAUUUCAAUGUUAAGCACAUGCAUUAGUUUGUACGAUCAGGGCUUAAGAAAUAAAUGUAUUUAAAAGACCAGAUUGCUCUUCUAGAAUAUAGGAUACAUUGUUAUUAAAUAUUCAUAUUGUUCAUAUCAGUGCCAGGUCCCCCUUGUGCGAGGCACUGCACAAAUCCACAGAAAGACAGUCCCUACCACAAAGAACUUACAAUGUAGAUCAAAAAACCCAAAACAAAUUAAAAGGUAUGGAAAAGGGAUACACAUACAAUCCAAGCCCUUGAUCUGUACAUGCUAAACUUUAUGUACUGAGAGUAGUUCCCAUUGACUUCAGUGGGACUACUUGACUGUGUAAAGUCAAGCAUCUGGGUAACUACUCACAGGACCAAUGCCCAAGACCCGGUUCUGUCACCUUUCCUCAUGGUGAGUAGUACCUUACUCCACCAUGAGUAGCAGUGGAGUAAGGUAUCACUUUACACCCAUUUCUGCCAUCUCUGUUCAUGUUAAGUGAUUGUGGGCAUGUGUCUCGUUAGUUCCAUGUUGUGUCUAUAACAUGAUGCCCCUUGGUAAGUUGUUAGUAGCAAGGUCAAACCUCUUGAUCUAAAAGUCUGAGUCUCUGAUGUGAGAGCUAAAGAGCCAGCUUUGCUAGCUCAAAGCCAGUGGCAAACUCCUAAAUCUCUAUGAGUGACCCAGCCACUCGAGGGGAAUGGAGCUAUUCUGUGUAAGUGUGGGUUACCUGCUGUUCAUGAUCUGUUAGCAGUAUUUUUUAAAAAAAAUACAAUAAAGCCUCAUCCUUGCCCCUA